rnacentral:pre_miRNA from 1 species
AGUGGGAUAACUGGGUCAAAUUGUGGUUCCAUUUCUAAUUUUUUGAGAAAUAUACAUACUGCUUUCUAGAGUAGUUGCACCAAUUUGCAGUCCCAAUGUAU